ensembl:lncRNA
UGCUGGCUAGCAGAGUAGAACACCUGUUUAGGAGAGGUGCUGGCUAGCAGAGUAGAACACCUGUUUAGGAGAGGUGCUGGCUAGCAGAGUAGAACAAAAGAAAAGGAGAGACGCAAACUCUAGGAGCUCAGACGCAAUAAUUUAAUAACUAACGUUUCGACAGCCAAGCUGUCUUCAUCGGGGUAAAGCUGCAAUGCUUCCCACAGUUGUCAAGUUGGCUGGAUUUCCUUUGGGUGGUGGACCAUUCUUGAUACAUGUGGGAAACUGUUGAACUCUUGACACACUCAAACCUGUGCGCCUGGCACCUACUACCAUACCCCGUUCAAAGGCACUUCAAUCUUUUGUCUUGAACAUUCACCCUCUGAAUGGUACACACACACAAUACAUGUUUCAAUUGUCUCAAGGCUUAGAAAUCCUUCUUUAACCUGUCUCCUCUCCUUCAUCUACACAGAUUAAAGUGGAUUUAACAGGCAACAUCAAUAAGGGAUCAAGACUUUCACCUGGCCAGUCUACAUGGAAAGACCAGGUGUUCUCACUUUAAAAAACAACUAAAAUAGUGAUUUUGUCAGACAGCAUAGAUGAGGAAGACUUGGAAUUAAAUAAUAGUCGUAAAAUUAAACAAAUGUAAUUUACACAACUGAAAUAUUUUAGGAAGUUAAUGUAACUAAAUGAUGGUUAAUUUAUUUUUAUUUAACUAGGUAAGUCAGUUAAGAACAAAUUCUUAUUUUCAACGACAGCCUAGGAACAGUGGGUUAGUUGCCUUGUUCAGGAGCAGAACGACAGAUUUUUACCUUGUCAGCUCGGGGAUUCAAUCUUGCAACUUUUCAGUUACAAGUCCAAUGCUCUAACCACUAGACUACCUGCCGCCCCAGGCUGCAGUAAUGGGCUGUCACUACCAUCAUGGAACUUUUAUUAAAUGUUUUAUUCUGUAUUGGUAUAGCAUUCAACCCACAUAAUGCAUAGUGCAUUUCAUGUUUUAAAAAAUUAUCGAAAUCGAAAACCCUGAUUAUUUUUUAAUAAUGGAACUGAAACCGACCAACCUCAAAAAGCACUAAUCGCUCAGCACUGCUCUAUUUCCAAAGCAGCACCCAUCAACCCUUACCACCCUCACCUCUGUUUUCACCCACACCUUCCUCCCAUUAUCCCCUUCUCCUCCAUGUUCUCUCCAUCCUCAUCUCUCCAUGAUAGUCCUAACCAACCCUAACCCAUCCUCAAGCAAACAUAGCCAGUGGACCUGUGGAGUAUUUAACAUAUAGGCACUGGCCACCAGAUAGAACAUGGACACUGGCCACCAGAGGGAACAUGGACACUGGCCACCAGAGGGAGCAUAGACACUGGCCACCAGAUAGAACAUGGACACUGGCCACCAGAGGGAGCAUGGACACUGGCCACCAGAUAGAACAUGGACACUGGCCACCAGAGGGAGCAUAGACACUGGCCACCAGAUAGAACAUGGACACUGGCCACCAGAGGGAACAUGGACACUGGCCACCAGAGGGAGCAUAGACACUGGCCACCAGAUAGAACAUGGACACUGGCCACCAGAGGGAGCAUGGACACUGGCCACCAGAUAGAACAUGGACACUGGCCACCAGAGGGAGCAUAGACACUGGCCACCAGAUAGAACAUGGACACUGGCCACCAGAGGGAACAUGGACACUGGCCACCAGAGGGAGCAUAGACACUGGCCACCAGAGAGAACAUGGACACUGGCCACCAGAUAGAACAUGGACACUGGCCACCAGAGGGAACAUGGACACUGGCCACCAGAGGGAACAUGGACACUGGCCACCAGAGGGAGCAUAGACACUGGCCACCAGAGGGUACAUGGACACUGGCCACCAGAGGGAGCAUAGACACUGGCCACCAGAGGGAGCAUGGACACUGGCCACCAGAGGGAGCAUGGACACUGGCCACCAGAGGGAGCAUGGACACUGGCCACCAGAUAGAACAUGGACACUGGCCACCAGAGGGAACAUGGACACUGGCCACCAGAGGGAACAUGGACACUGGCCACCAGAGGGAGCAUAAACACUGGCCACCAGAGGGAGCAUGGACACUGGCCACCAGAGGGAGCAUGGACACUGGCCACCAGAGGGAGCAUGGACACUGGCCACCAGAGGGAACAUGGACACUGGCCACGAGAGGGAACAUGGACACUGGCCACCAGAGGGAACAUGGACACUGGCCACCAGAGAGAACAUGGACACUGGCCACCAGAGAGAACAUGGACAGUGGCCACCAGAGAGAACAUGGACAGUGGCCACCAGAGAGAACAUGGACAGUGGCCACCAGAGAGGACAUGGACACUGGCCACCAGUGGGGACAUGGACACUGGCCACCAGAGAGAACAUGGACACUGGCCACCAGAGAGAACAUGGACAGUGGCCACCAGAGAGAACAUGGACAGUGGCCCCCAGAGGGAACAUGGACAGUGGCCACCAGAGGGAACAUGGACACUGGCCACGAGAGGGAACAUGGACACUGGCCACGAGAGGGAACAUAGACACUGGCCACCAGAGAGAACAUGGACAAUUCCCUACAGUUACACCUCUCAGUUCCUUUCUCUCUCAGUUCCUCUCUGUCUCAGUUCCUCUCUGUCUCAGGUCCUCUGUCUCAGUUCCUCUCUGUCUCAGUUCCUCUCUGUCUCAGUUCCUCUCUGUCUCAGUUCCUCCGUGGUAAAAGAAGAAGAAAUGAGAGCGUAUGACUACUACUUGACAACAAAACCAAACCAGUUUCACUCAACAACAACGUUAAACAUAUUGUAUCUAUCUAUGCAUGUUCCUAAACCUGCAAGUAUAGAUAUGAACUUUUAACAAAGUUGGGUUUUUUGUACAUUUUUUACCAGAUUCUGUGUUCUGGUAUCAGUAAUAUUUAUUUAUUCUCCUGCUUUAUUUGUUUAUUUGUUUGUAAUCAGUAAACUUCCAGAUGAAUGAGUGAAGAACUGCUGCAGCUCUCCAACAUUCAGGACUUUUGUUUCAGGGUAAUUUCAGUUCUUGUUUGUCAGGCUCUCAUCUGAUGCUAUGGGAGACUGUCUCUGAGCUUCUGAUGAAUGUACUGUGUGCCCGGGGUCUUUGCUGUCCCCUCCUCACCUCACGUCCCCACCAUACUGACCACAGCUCAACUCAACCCUCUUUCCGAGGCACUGCAAAGACUUCAUGUCCACCUCUACUCCUGUGGGGCUACCCAGAUCCCAAAAUGGAUGACUUGACAUGGAUGGAAAAACCUACAAACGUUUCACCAAAACAUCAGCUCUCUCACUUUGCCCUCUUGUCCAGGUUGUUACAUGGUACUCGUUCUUCCCUCGUUUUCAUUCACAGUAUGUUCUCCUGAAAAGAAAGUGACUGACUAGGUUACGACAAGAGAAGAACUCAGGCUUCACAUGUAUGUGACACUUAUUUCAUCCUUCAUUGAAGUACAUCCAUGCCACUCUACCACAUUCCCCUGAUUCAUGAUUCUCUCUGCAAUAAGCCCACUUUACAAGAAAGAAAAGGAAGUCACUCUUUCUUUAAUAAAGUCAAUAUGGUCUUGUAUGAUAGGGAGAAACAGACUGACAAGAAGGAAGGCUCUUUAUUUUCACAAUCUGAGUUCUGGAAUGGGCACUCUCUCGUUCUCUCUCUCUAGCAUUCCCUCAUGGCAUUCGCAAGAUACUUUAUACACUUCUUCACACAGGGUCAGGUUAACAGGGAUAUUGUAUGUUUUCUACCUGUUGAUCCCUUUAAAAACCUCUCCCUUGAAGCCCACCCCUCAGGCAUGCAUGCUCCUCAGACCAGACCAAAGGGUAAGACAACACUGAUCCCUGGUCAGAUUUUAGAGGGUUGUGUCCCUCUCUCUGUAUCAAUACUCAUCAGUCUUUGUUGCGCAGUAUCUCACUCCUGUGUGGGCUAGGUGGUUUAGGUGGGCCAUUCAGCUCAUGUCUAUGAUGAGGUGUAUUCCAAACCAAUCAACUACAUCAGCUAUGUUCCAAACAUCGACACUAGCGUGCUAAGGCAUACACCAACUAUAAUAGCUUCAAAGCAGUGUGCUAGUCUGGAUGUUGGACCAGAGCCUUAGUUUCUCUCAUUGGAGAUAAAGAGAGAACUAUUUUCUAGUUGGUUCACCCCGACACAGGCACCUUCUCAACUUCUACUGUUGUUGUUCUAUAGCCAGUCAUGUGAAUGCUUAAUGGCACGGUCAGGUGGUGGCUGAUAAGAUAAUGCCUGGGAGGCAUCCAUCCAUGUCAGAAGCAUGAUCUCUGGUACUGUAGCCUCGCUUAUAUAUGCAUGCAUCUUAGCCAACAGUUCGGUCUUAUAAUGACUCCUUUACUGCCUCUAACCCUGACAGAAUUCACCUCUAACCCUGGCAGAAUUCACCUCUAACCCUGGCAGAAUUCACCUCUAACCCUGGCAGAUUUCACCUCUAACCCUGGCAGAAUUCACCUCUAACCCUGGCAGAAUUCACCUCUAACCCUGACAGAUUUCACCUCUAUCCCUGACAGAAUUCACCUCUAACCCUGUCAGAAUUCACCUCUAACCCUGGCAGAAUUCACCUCUAACCCUGACAGAUUUCACCACUAACCCUGGCUUAAUUCACCACUAACCCUGGCUUAAUUCACCUCUAACCCUGGUAGGAUUCACCUCUAACCCUGGCAGAAUUCACCUCUAACCCUGACAGAUUUCACCUCUAACCCUGACAGAAUGUACCUCUAACCCUGGUAGAAUUCACCUCUAACCCUGACCGAUUUCACCACUAACCCUGACAGAUUUCACCUCUAACCCUGGCAGAAUUCACCUCUAACCCUGACAGAAUUCACCUCUAACCCUGAUAGGAUUCACCUCUAACCCUGGCAGAAUUCACCUCUAACCCUGACAGAUUUCACCUCUAACCCUGACAGAAUGUACCUCUAACCCUGGUAGAAUUCACCUCUAACCCUGGCAGAAUUCACCUCUAACCCUGACAGAUUUCACCACUAACCCUGACAGAUUUCACCUCUAACCCUGGCAGAAUUCACCUCUUACCCUGGCAGAAUUCACCUCUAACCCUGGUAGAAUUCACCUCUAACCCUGACAGAAUUCACCUCUAACCCUGACAGAUUUCACCACUAACCCUGACAGAUUUCACCUCUAACCCUGACAGAUUUCACCUCUUACCCUGGCAGAAUUCACCUCUAACCCUGACAGAUUUCACCUCUAACCCUGACAGAAUUCCCCUCUUACCCUGACAGAAUUCAAUGCAGAAGCCCCUCUUGCGUUAUCUAGAAUAGCUUGUCCACUUUAGCCAUAUGUUUAUGGUUUACUGACCCUAAACAAUGGUUCGCUCAUAGAGAUACUGUAUGGAAUGUGUUUCUAAUGGACAGAACUGGAGAACACUGUAGUGGACACUAUGGCACCUGAAGAGGAUCCAGAAAUAAACCUAAUCAGAAAAGGUGUCCUAUUUCGAUGUUUUUUGUCUGCCAUUUGUUUCAAGUUGUGUUGAUUUUUUUAUCUUAUUUGUUCAUACCUCCACUGUUUCUCCUCUGAGAGCUAGAAGAACAUGUCACAUUUCUAUGAUUGUGUUUUUUUAAUGCUUUUGAUUGUUUAAAGUGAAUGUAAGAUUUCAGUCACUAUUUGUGUCCCAUUGUUUGUGAUAUGAUAUCUUUAAAAUCUUCAAAUAAAUGUAGCAUUUUUGUCUAAUCAAAGACACAUGUGACUGUUCCCAGUUAGAGAAUGUCUCUCUCUCUCGCUCUCUCUCUCUCUCUCUCUCUCUCUCUCUCUCUCUCUCUCUCUCUCUCUCUCUCACUCACUCACUCACUCACUCACUCACUCACUCACACACACACACACGUUAUACAACAAUUCCCAGAGCUCAACUAUUGAUUUGACUGUCGUUAUCCAUAAUUGCAUCCUGCCCUAACAAUGGAGGACAUUUUAUUUUUCUCAGAAUCACAGUUCUGUUUUCAGCCAGUGCAAGAAAGUCUAUGGCCCCAUGAGAGGCUUGGACAAGUUAAUUUGGUUCAAUCAAGCCAGCAGUUAGUUGAUUCAGGUGCAUAAAUGUUCCAUUCAAAGCGACUGGAGAUUCUGAGAAACAUUUUACUCUUGGGAGUUUUAACUCAAUGGCACAAUCAGGUGCUUUUGUUACAGUACGUUGGCAACAACACGUUCAUUAAGGCACUGUAUUGUUGGAUGGUAAAUAGAUUUUUCUUAUUGUCCUAAACUACAACCCAAAUGACAUCAGAUUGAAAGUCCAACCAAUUCAUUGUUCAUUCUGAGCAACACAGUACACAUGAAUCUAUAUUAAACCGUUGUGUCGCAUGAAAUGUGUUAGUCUCUGGAGUUGAAUAUCUUUAUAUUUUCUUCUCUGAGUGACAUGAAUGGGGUCCUCUGGGUCUUCCUGCCAAUGGUGUUGAGUGGCUAGAUUACAGAACCAUGUGCUACAUAUUACAUCACACAAAUAUAACUACUGGUUUGAGGGAAUGUAUAUUUUCCUUUGUGAUCUCAGUCCCUUUAUUACACAGCAACAUGUUAUUUGUCCCACAAGACUGGGAUGAACGUGUCAAUUGCACAUUUUUUAAAAUGUAACCAUUGCAACUCUUAUGUAUUUAAAUUCUGUCCAAUUUUAAACUGUGACAGGAGGCAUGACCUUGAGCGUCACACAGUGACAUUACUGUCCCUUCAUACGCAUGGUCACGUAGAUCAUAUGGCUUCCACACAACUACCUCAGAGCCCUGGCCACCUCUAACGGGGCGUUAGCAUCUAUAGGAACUGAGAUCCGCACAUCUCUGAUAUUCUAAUCGACACGAAUGCUAUGCAUGAUCCAAUCUCAAGUCUUCUCCUGCAUGUACUUCUCUUUCUGUACCUUUACCGAUUCCAUCACACCACUCACUCUGCCUUCAUCCCAAAUGGCACCCUAUUCCUUGUGGUGCACUACUGUUGACCCAGAGCCUGAUGGGCCCUGCUCAAAAGUAGUGCACUAUAUAGGGAAUAGGAUGCCAUUUGGGACGGGCCCUCUGACUUGCUGCCAUUACAACAUUCCAUCCAUCCUCCCUCACUUCUUUAAAUCCCUCUAAUGAAAGGAAACAUUGUUAUAAGGACAUUAACACAACGUCGAAGCAAUAAAAUAAUGCUAACAAAAUGUCUUCCAUGCAAUUUCAAUGAUUGAUGAAGUUACCAAUGGAAUAAUGAUGAUUUUUAGAGUUUUUAUUUACUAAUUCACACCUGAUUUGGUUUCUAAAAGUGAAACGAUAAAAAGCUUACUACUUGUUGAGAACUAAUUUGACUAACUUAUUCAUUAAUUUGUUUCAAUAAAGUUAUUUAAUUGAAUGUUAUGUUUCCAGUCUCUCAUUUGAGUAACCCAGUGUUAUUUCUC